rnacentral:miRNA from 1 species
UGGCAGUGUGAUUAGCUGGUUG